rnacentral:tRNA from 1 species
GUGGCCGUAGUUUAAUGGUAGAAUAAGCGGCUGUGGCCCGCUUGGAGUGGGUUCGAUUCCCACCGGCUGCC